rnacentral:rRNA from 1 species
UACGUAGGGGGCGAGCGUUGUCCGGAAUCAUUGGGCGUAAAGCGCGUGUAGGCGGCCCGGUAAGUCCGCUGUGAAAGUCCAGGGCUCAACCCUGGGAUGCCGGUGGAUACUGUCGGGCUCGAGUCCGGAAGAGGCGAGUGGAAUUCCUGGUGUAGCGGUGAAAUGCGCAGAUAUCAGGAGGAACACCGGUGGCGAAGGCGGAUCUCUGGGCCGUAACUGACGCUGAGGAGCGAAAGCAUGGGGAGCGAACAGG